rnacentral:lncRNA from 1 species
AUUCAAUCAAAUUUGAUGGGUUUAACAACUACAUUUUCAUCAUUCAGACAAUUCAAUCAAAUUUCAUGGGUUUAAUGAUAACAACAUUUUCAUUAUUCACACAAUUCAAUCAAAUUUCUUAGGUUUAACAGCAACAUUUCAUCAUUCACUUAAUUCAAUCAAAUUUCAUGGGAUUAACAACAACAUUUUCAUUAUUCUCACAAUUCAAUAAAAUUUCAUGGGUUUAACAACAACAUUUUCAUCAUUCACACAAUUUAAUCAAAUUUCAUGGGUUUAACAACAAUAUUUUCAUCAAUCACAAAAUUCAAUCAAAUUUCAUGCUUUUAACAACAUUUUCAUCACUUACACAAUUCAAUUAAAUUGCAUGUGUUUAACAACAACAACAUUUUCAUCAUUCACACAAUUCAAUCAAGUUUCAUGGGAGGUUUAACAACAACAUUUUCAUCAUUCACACAAUUUAAUCAAAUUUCAUGGGUUUAACAACAAUAUUUUCAUCAUUCACAAAGUUCAAUCAAAUUUCAUGCUUUUAACAACAUUUUCAUCACUUAC